rnacentral:rRNA from 1 species
UACGAAGGGGGCUAGCGUUGUUCGGAAUUACUGGGCGUGAAGCGCGCGCAGGCGGUCUUCCAAGUCAGUGGUGAAAGCCCGGAGCUCAACUCCGGAACUGCCAUUGAAACUGUUGGACUUGAGUACGAGAGAGGUGAGUGGAAUUCCCAGUGUAGAGGUGAAAUUCGUAGAUAUUCGGAAGAACACCAGUGGCGAAGGCGGCUCACUGGACUGGUAUUGACGCUGAGGUGCGAAAGCGUGGGGAGCAAACAGG